GAUGAACGCUGGCGGCGUGCCUAAUACAUGCAAGUCGAGCGAAUGGAUUAAGAGCUUGCUCUUAUGAAGUUAGCGGCGGACGGGUGAGUAACACGUGGGUAACCUGCCCAUAAGACUGGGAUAACUCCGGGAAACCGGGGCUAAUACCGGAUAACAUUUUGAACCGCAUGGUUCGAAAUUGAAAGGCGGCUUUGGCUGUCACUUAUGGAUGGACCCGCGUCGCAUUAGCUAGUUGGUGAGGUAACGGCUCACCAAGGCAACGAUGCGUAGCCGACCUGAGAGGGUGAUCGGCCACACUGGGACUGAGACACGGCCCAGAAUCAUACGGGAGGCAGCAGUAGGGAAUCUUCCGCAAUGGACGAAAGUCUGACGGAGCAACGCCGCGUGAGUGAUGAAGGCUUUCGGGUCGUAAAACUCUGUUGUUAGGGAAGAACAAGUGCUAGUUGAAUAAGCUGGCACCUUGACGGUACCUAACCAGAAAGCCACGGCUAACUACGUGCCAGCCGCCGCAGUAA
rnacentral:rRNA from 1 species